GAAUGACUAAAACCAGUAAUUAGAAUGUCUUCCCUUCUUGUAUGUGGCAGUCAUGAUUUAACGUCCAGGACAGAAACAAGCAUGACUGCAAUAGCAAAGGAGAGGUCAAGGAUUACACAAAAUCAUUUCUUGAGAUGACCAGACCACUUUGCUUUCAAGAAUGUCUAAGUGAGAAUACAUUGCAGCUGGUAGCACUAUUGAGAACAGUUGGAUAAUCCUUCAGUCUCCAGCACUGACAGAGCAGCUUCAAAGCAUUCCCUGCCUAUCUCUCAUCCUCGGUGUCGGGCUGUGCCGUAGGCGAUGUGACAGCUCAACAUAUGCGGCGUAGGUAGGAACGUCUGUAGAUGGUCAGAGCUGGAUUCUGUCUCAGGCAAUGCUCUAUGGAUUUGUGUGCACACACACAGAUUAGUUUCCUGCUUGGGCAGAGCAGUUGGACCAGAUGCCCUCCAGACAUCCCUUCCAACCUCUGCAAUUCAGUAGUUCUGGGACCAAUGUAGCAGUGAGCUGUAAG